GAGUGCUUCUGGUGAAUAAAGCCCUGGCCAUAACUGCCUCUGACACCUGGAAGGAGCACCGCUUUGCAGUUUGCAUCAGGUGCCAAAAUGUCUUGUGCCUGCCCUGGGAGUACCUUACCAGAUCAACUGUUGUGCUCAGUACAAGCAGUGAGGCACACACUCAAGGAAACAGGAGUAAAAGCAAAAUAGUUCUUGGAAACAAGAUAAGGGAAAGAAAACAUUACAGGGGAAGGAGUUUGGCAUUAAAAUGCAACAGAUUUUCAAGUAACUCAGAUUUGCAAGGAUUGGGGGUCCUGUGGCCCUCCAGCUGGACUACGUCUGAAGGACUGGUCUAUACAUACAGCAGAAUGGAAUGCACCACUUCAGACAAGAAGUGAGUGGUGUCACUUUUGAGUACUUGCUUUUUAAAAAAUCCUGCAAGCAGAAGACAAUGCAUCGGAGAGAAAUUUUUUGUCCAACUGCAUUGGCUUUCUGUUUGCAGAGAGGUUUAACAGAGCAGUGUUGGGAAAAAGCGAAACAAGUUUGAAAUACACAGUCCCCUGUAGUACAGCUUUGUUCUGCUACAUAUGUGGACCAGCCUUGAAUGUACACAACAGAGAGCUGCAGCCUAUCCAGUUCUCUUAUUAAGACUGGUGAGAUUUGGGUCUGACUCAUUCCUGUGAACUGUUUGACUUGCUUGGGGUUCUUUUUUACAGUAUCAGUUGCAGUUACGGGGUGGGCGGGGAAUGUACAGAUCAUUGCAUCUUCUAAAACCUGUCCAACGAAAGCUCAUGAAGCCUCCUAGAACUUAAGGAAAUAAUGGAUCUUCUGGGGAAAUGAAUUACUCAGUUACUUCGGACGUUUGUUAAUCCACACUCUGUUUCUACCAAAACAUCAUCUCCCAGUACAGUACUUAACCCACAUGGAAUAAUUCUUGACUGACUCCCACUGAAGAGAAGAGAAACACAAUGUAUUGACUACAAAUUUUAUUUAUACAAAAUAUAAAGAGCACUUUAAAGUUUUAGAAAACAAAAAUAGUGUCAAAAAAGCAGGGAUGAGAACAGAGAACCGAUCCUGAGCACUGUAUUGGAGCAAAUCAAAGUAGACAAUUGCUUUUGCUUUUACACACACAAACAAUUGGAUUUCGUAUUAAAAACUUGGUGUACAAAGUAGAAAAACUAUCAACAUAUAUUUUCUUCCAAAAAUAUUUAGAAAUAUAUAGUACAUAUUCUAGUGCCUAAAUAGACACAGGCAACACAUGUUGGAUUCCAAAAGGGUUCAGUGGAGACCUAUCUUCCUAGUUAGUGUUGAUGCAGAGGGUGGCACAGGCUGGAUGUGGAAGGAAUAUGCAGGCUACACAUUCCCCAAACUGCCUUGUCUCAUUACCUACUCAUGCACCUAUGCAGUUAUGCUAAGCAGGAAAACAGCUAAACUGAACAAUGUGAAUUGGAGUGCACUAUAUAACUCUUAGGCAGCAGAUUAUGCCCUUAAUGUGGGAAAUAUUUUAGAACUUGUAUGGUUUUAAAGAGCCACAUCCAACCAGGAGCCAAAAAUACAGAAGCAGUCAAGAGUCCCAAACAGGGUUAACUAGGAUGAUGCAAGGACACCAACUGUUGCCAGUAUGUCAUGGGUUAUAUACUGUGAGCAAGUGGUUUGGAUAUAGCCUAAGCAUUCAUUUUAUACCUGCUGGCUCAGUUUAUUCAUCUCAUAUAUACAAUAAGUCUCAAGCUUUAUUGUGGCAAGGAUCCUUUAGGUCAGCAUUCCCCAAUUUUGGGUUACCAGAUAUUUUUGGACUACAAUUUCCAAGCAUCCUUAGCCAGCAGGCCAAUGGUCAGGAAUGAUGAUGGCAGCUGUAGUCCAACAAUAUUUGGAGACUCAAGAUUGGGGAAGGCCAAAGUUUCAUAACUAACUUUUGACCAUCCCCAAGUAUGGUUAAAAACUUAAGGCGGAUUGUUUAUGUGGGAGCAAGUAAAUUAGGAACAAA